rnacentral:rRNA from 1 species
UACGUAGGCGGCAAGCGUUGUUCGGAAUUACUGGGCGUAAAGCGCGUGUAGGCGGCUCUUCAAGUCAGGCGUGAAAGCCCCGAGCUUAACUCGGGAACUGCGCUUGAUACUGUCGAGCUAGAGUGUGGAAGGGGCGAUUGGAAUUCCGUGUGUAGCGGUGAAAUGCGUAGAUAUACGGAGGAACACCAGAGGCGAAGGCGGAUCGCUGGGCCAACACUGACGCUGAGACGCGAAAGCUAGGGGAGCAAACGGG